AGGCAAGGUACGAGAAAGUGGUGGAUCUAGUAAUUGUCUCCGAUGUGCAUGUGUGCUCAGCUAUCUAAUAGAUGUAGAAUGACUUGCUGAAUUGAUCAUGAGAGAGAUCUGUAUGUGGAUAUAAUAUUAUGUUCAACGACCACAGAUAUAGCGACACGAUGAUGAUGCAGCAAGAUUCUAGAAAUGAGUGGACAUUCUUCAGUUUGCUGCCCCACGUGUGGACCGAGAUCCUCCUGCCCAUCGUCUCCCUAAUGCUAGGGCAUUACACU